GCAAUGGACUUGCUCCUGANUUNCGGCGGANGGGUGAGUACACGUGGGUACCUGCCUGUAAGACUGGGAUAACUCCGGGAAACCGGGGCUAAUACCGGAUGCUUGUUUGAACCGCAUGGUUCAGACAUAAAAGGUGGCUUCGGCUACCACUUACAGAUGGACCCGCGGCGCAUUAGCUAGUUGGUGAGGUAACGGCUCACCAAGGCGACGAUGCGUAGCCGACCUGAGAGGGUGAUCGGCCACACUGGGACUGAGACACGGCCCAGACUCCUACGGGAGGCAGCAGUAGGGAAUCUUCCGCAAUGGACGAAAGUCUGACGGAGCAACGCCGCGUGAGUGAUGAAGGUUUUCGGAUCGUAAAGCUCUGUUGUUAGGGAAGAACAAGUGCCGUUCAAAUAGGGCGGCACCUUGACGGUACCUAACCAGAAAGCCAC
rnacentral:rRNA from 1 species